rnacentral:rRNA from 1 species
AGAGUUUGAUCCUGGCUCAGGAUGAACGUUGGCGGCGUGCCUAACACAUGCAAGUCGAACGGAAGUAGCAAUACUUCAGUGGCGCACGGGUGAGUAACACGUAGCUUACCCUCCUCCGAGAGUGGGAUAACGGCUCGAAAGAGCUGCUAAUACCGCAUAAGCUCCCGAGCUAUAGAGGCUUGAGAGAAAAGGGGCAACUCGCUUGGAGACGGGGCUGCGGCCCAUCAGCUAGUUGGUGAGGUAACGGCUUACCAAGGCGACGACGGGUAGGGGACCUGAGAGGGUGACCCCCCACACUGGGACUGAGACACGGCCCAGACUCCUACGGGAGGCAGCAGUGAGGAAUAUUGCACAAUGGGCGCAAGCCUGAUGCAGCGACGCCGCGUGAGUGAAGAAGGCCUUCGGGUCGUAAAGCUCUUUUCUGCGUGACGAGCAAGGACGGUAGCGCAGGAAUAAGUCUCGGCUAACUACGUGCCAGCAGCCGCGGUAAAACGUAGGAGACAAACGUUAUCCGGAGUUACUGGGCGUAAAGGGCGUGCAGGUGGUCUGUUAAGUCUGGCGUGAAAGCUCCUGGCUAAACCGGGAGAGGUCGUUGGAUACUGGCGGACUAGAGGACGGUAGAGGCGUGUGGAAUUCCGGGUGUAGUGGUGAAAUGCGUAGAGAUCCGGAGGAACACCAGUGGCGAAGGCGACACGCUGGGCCGUACCUGACACUGAUACGCGACAGCAUGGGGAGCGAACGGGAUUAGAAACCCCGGUAGUCCAUGCCGUAAACGAUGCCAGCUAGAUGUUCAAUUUCCGCAAGGGAAUGGGGUAUCGAAGCCAACGCGGUAAGCUGGCCGCCUGGGGAGUACGGUCGCAAGGCUAAAACUCAAAGGAAUUGACGG